GGACGACGCUCUGGAGAGACUCACUAAGAGCACCGAAGGAGUAACCUGAUUAACUUCAGGGUAAUCUCUCAGGUAAAAGGACAGGGUAAAGGAC
rnacentral:ncRNA from 2 species